AACGAACGCUGGCGGCAGGCUUAACACAUGCAAGUCGAACGCACCGCAAGGUGAGUGGCAGACGGGUGAGUAACGCGUGGGAACGUGCCCUUCAGUUCGGGAUAACCCAGGGAAACUUGGGCUAAUACCGGAUACGUGCGAGAGCAGAAAGAUUUAUCGCUGAAGGAUCGGCCCGCGUCUGGUUAGCUGGUUGGUGAGGUAAUGGCUCACCAAGGCGACGAUCAGUAGCUGGUCUGAGAGGAUGAUCAGCCACAUUGGGACUGAGACACGGCCCAAACUCCUACGGGAGGCAGCAGUGGGGAAUAUUGGACAAUGGGGGCAACCCUGAUCCAGCCAUGCCGCGUGAGUGAUGAAGGCCUUCGGGUUGUAAAGCUCUUUUGGCGGGGACGAUGAUGACGGUACCCGCAGAAUAAGCCCCGGCUAACUUCGUGCCAGCCGCCGCAGUAAAAC
rnacentral:rRNA from 1 species